CAAUAGCGUAUAUUAAAGUUGUUGCAGUUAAAAAGCUCGUAGUUGGAUUUCGGGGUGGCCUGGCUGGUCCGCCGCAAGGUGAGUACUGGUCAGCCGCCCUUCCUCUCGAAAGCACCGACUGCUCUUUACUGCAGUGGUCGGGUAGUUCGGGACGUUUACUUUGAAAAAAUUAGAGUGUUCAAGGCAGGCUAUCGCCUGAAUACAUUAGCAUGGAAUAAUGGAAGAGGACCUCGGUCCUAUUUUGUUGGUUUCUAGGGCCGAAGUAAUGAUUAAGAGGGACAGUUGGGGGCAUUCGUAUUUAAUUGUCAGAGGUGAAAUUCUUGGAUUUAUGAAAGACGAACUAGUGCGAAAGCAUUUGCCAAGGAUGUUUUCAUUAA
rnacentral:rRNA from 1 species